GUUUCUAAUGUCUGUCGACUUUGGUCUCGUGAAAAGUGGACGUAUUUCAUCACUCUGCAGUGGAGCCAAGAGACUGCCUUCCAGUGGGAGAAGUUUGGGUUCCCAAAGCAGCUACUCAGGAGCUUCUGCUAUGGAAUAAAAGCCAAACUGUACUCACGUGACUUGAUGCAUCAAACUGCAAACCAUCUUUUCCCUGAAGAAUUAUUUGAGGCAUGAAUCCCUGUGAAGAAUUUUACAUUUUGAGGGGAGCCUCUUUCGAGUCCAAGUCUAUGCUCUGGAGAAAUUGAUGACUUCUGGAGCUAUAGGCAGACUCGUUCUGGGACUGUUGGCAGGGACAUCAGUGCCCUGUGAAAGGUGAUGUGGAAAGCCAUGACUCAGAGUGAGGUCUUCAGUGGCUUUCUUCAUCAAAGCAGAAAAACCAGAUGCUGAACUUAAGGCUCAGAAAGAUUCAUGCACCGGCCCAAUGCUACCCAAAUGGCAGCUGUUCUGAAAUGUGAGCCUACAUGUCUUUGACUACCGUGCCUGGGCUCUGAAUUACCACAAUGCGUGAAAGAAUCAGAGAUGUGGAUGAGAAGCUAAGAAUACGAAGAGAAAGCGUGGUUUUCAGCCAAAGAGUAAAUAUAGAAUAUUGGGAGGGGCGGAAUUAAUGGAAAGAGAAAUGAACAGAAACGUCUUUUGGGGGAGGUGCCAUGUUUCAAAAGAAUCCUGUCCCCUUUACCCUAAACCCAUAUCCCCUCACAUCUUGUGAUGGGGACUUGGAUUCCACUCUGGGGACGUUUAUCAGGAAUGGUUGUCCCCAUUUACAGUCCAAGUCUUUAAAAAUUUGCAUUAUAAAUAGAUGAUUUUUUGUUUUUUAGUGUUCAACAGGCUUGAGCAGUGUGAGACAUUUUUUUUUUUUCUGAGACCCAGUCACACCACCUCCUCUUCUGAAUUUCUUGUUCUGUUCAUCUUUGACUCCUCCCCCCAGCCCAGCCCCGUGCCUGACGGUUAGCGGGCACCCAGGAAGGCAUCGGGUGACUGGUUCAAGAAGGAAAUGAGAUUCUGAAGGCACUCACCAAGUGGAGU